UACGAAGGGUGCAAGCGUUACUCGGAAUUACUGGGCGUAAAGCGCACGUAGGCGGAUCGUUAAGUCGGGGGUGAAAUCCUGGAGCUCAACUCCAGAACUGCCUUCGAUACUGGCGAUCUUGAGUCCGGAAGAGGUGAGUGGAACUCCUAGUGUAGAGGUGGAAUUCGUAGAUAUUAGGAAGAACACCAGUGGCGAAGGCGGCUCACUGGUCCGGUACUGACGCUGAGGUGCGAAAGCGUGGGGAGCAAACAGG
rnacentral:rRNA from 1 species